CUUCAGCUGUACAACCCUGAAUGCACCUGAUCUUGUUUGAGCUUGAAAGCUCAGCAGGGUUAGAUCUGGUUAGUACUUGGAUGGGAGCAUCCUAAGUUUCCAAAAACUUAGAUGU
rnacentral:rRNA from 1 species